rnacentral:rRNA from 1 species
GCAUCGAUGAAGAACGCAGCGAAAUGCGAAAAGUAGUGUGAAUUGCAGAAUUCAGUGAAUCAUCGAAUCUUUGAACGCACAUUGCGCCCCUUGGUAUUCCAUGGGGCAUGCCUGUUCGAGCGUCAUUUGUACCCUCAAGCUCUGCUUGGUGUUGGGUGUUUGUCCCGCCUUCGCGCGUGGACUCGCCUUAAAGUGAUUGGCAGCCGGAAUAAUUCUGGGGAACGCAGCACAACUGCAGCCUCCAUUUUACGCCGAGCGUCCAGUAAGCCUUUUUUCAACGUUUGACCUCGGAUCAGGUAGGGAUACCCGCUGAACUUAAGCAUAUCAAUAAGCGGAGGA